rnacentral:lncRNA from 1 species
CACCACCUUCUAUGACAUCACUUCAUCACCCUGACAACUGACCCCUCCCCCCCACAUCCUCUCCUCCCUGUUGCCCGGGCAACAAGAACAUUGAAGGUACACUGAAGUAUUUCUGAAGAGAUGUGUUUGUUAUGCUUCUGUUCUGGAACAUGGCCGUCACUUCACUUGUCUCCUACAGCAGACUAGGACUGAAUUGUUUUAUUUUAUCAUGUUGUUGUUGUUGUUGUUGUUGUUCUGUACUUUAUUCUAAUUGUUUGUAAUUGCUUGAUUCUCACAAGGUGAACAAAUAUGGACAAAGGCGUUUAUUAUUUUGUAUUGCUCUGCUAGCAUACGCUAUGUACGUUAAGCUAACAUUAAACACAUUAUUAGCAUUCGCUGAGCUAACAAAAGUUCUGUACUAGCGUACGCUAAGCUAACCGAAACACUCCGCUAAGCAUAUGCUAAGCUUACCCUGGGGAGAAAAAAAAACCUGUUAGCUUUAUGCUAAGCUAGCAGCAUCACACUCCGCUGAGCUUCAACCCCACUGAAAAGCCUUUCUACUGCAGUGCCUUUCAACUCUGUCUCUGGGUUUCGACUAUUGUACCUUUCAACUACAACAGGUCUUAAGAUCUCUGAGUUCAACUGCAGCGCCUGUUUAGUGGAAAUUAUGUUUUUACUCUCUACACUACACUAGCAUAUCACAGAAUACUACAAUACUACAUGCCCAAAAGACCCUUAAAAAAAAACCCCAGCUUUGUGACUGCUUCAUUCUCAGUGGUAGCUAGUGUGGCUGUUGGAACAGAGACUACGGCCGGGAUUCAAUCCCAAAACUGUGUCAUCGACCGCUUGACGUUUUAAAGGUCAUUUUCUAAUCGAGCAGCAGCAUCGUCGAAAAAAGCCGCGAUCAGAUUGAAUCCCUGCCUGUAUCUCUCUGGUCCAGGAUCUCUUUGGUUUCAUACCAACCCGAACACAAACCUAGUCUUCUCUAUCUCUAUCUAUCUAUCUAUCUCUCUAUCUCUCUCUCUCUCUCUCUCUCUCUCUCUCUCUCUCUCUCUCUCUCUCUCUCUCUCGCUCAUUUCAAAAAGGCAACAGAUUUCCCGUAAAAGAUAUGAAGAGCGAAUGUAUAUUUUUUUUUAUACAUUCAGUGUUUUGUACGUGUGCGUGUAGCAAACAUAGAAGGCAUCAUACAAAAACAUCUGUCAGCUUAAGUUACAGCUGGUAUCUUUAUGCACGGGCUGCGUCUCAAUCCACCGUAUCCGCCUUGUCGGCCUUCCUCAUCUGAGGUGGAAGGUGACAGAGCCACAGCGGUGUUUGUCAGAGAUCGAGAAACGUCCCCGAAAAAUUGGUCUUCUCACAAAUGUUUCCGUUGCGUCCAAACGGUUUAAUCUCCAAAACGAAUACGACCCUCAUCUACGGAGAGAUGGAGACUCACACAAAACACGAGCGUCACGUCGUGACUCUUCUGAAAUUCGUAACCGCCAAUCUGCCAACUUCUGUCUGUAGCGUCCGAACAAUUCGGGCCACAAACUAGCACGACCCCACCAUCGAACGGUGAGACUCUUACGAACACGUACCUGUUAGCUGUUUUGCUCUAGGUCGCCCACAAGCCUCACAAGACUAGUCUUGAAGGUACCAGUUUAAAACCUUUAUGGAGGUACUUUAGUGCCAAAAGAGUGGAUUAUGGGUAAAAAAAAAACGGAGUUUUCUUAUAUCUCUCAGAUAGAGGACAGACACUUCAAAACGACACUACUUCCUCUUAAUGACCCUGCCAUGUAUGAAUAUUUUUAUUCAAUGUGUUUCUAUGGGCUAAUCAUUUUUUUUAUAAAUAUAUAUUUUUAUCCUUACAGUGGAUCCUAACAUUUUAAAAAUAAAAUAGUGAAAAUUAUCCAUAGUAUGCCCGUCUUAAAACAAUUCCAUAUGUUAGAUUAGUAACCUGGCCAGAUUGGACCGUCUUAAAACAAUUCCAUAUGUUAGAUUAGUAACCUGGCCAGAUUGGACCGUCUUAAAACAAUUCCAUAUGUUAGAUUAGUAACCUGGCCAGAUUGG